UACGUAGGGCGCAAGCGUUGUCCGGAAUUAUUGGGCGUAAAGGGCGCGUAGGCGGCUCUGCACGUCCGUUGUGAAAUCGCCCGGCUCAACUGGGCGGGGUCAGCGGAUACGGCGGAGCUUGAGCAAGCUAGGGGGCAAUGGAAUUCCCGGUGUAGUGGUGGAAUGCGUAGAUAUCGGGAGGAACACCAGUGGCGAAGGCGGUUGCCUGGGGCUUUGCUGACGCUGAUGCGCGAAAGCGUGGGGAGCGAUCCGG
rnacentral:rRNA from 1 species